GACGAACGCUGGCGGCGUGCCUAAUACAUGCAAGUAGAACGCUGAAGGAGGAGCUUGCUCUUCUGGAUGAGUUGCGAACGGGUGAGUAACGCGUAGGUAACCUGCCUGGUAGCGGGGGAUAACUAUUGGAAACGAUAGCUAAUACCGCAUAAGAGUAGAUGUUGCAUGACAUUUGCUUAAAAGGUGCAAUUGCAUCACUACCAGAUGGACCUGCGUUGUAUUAGCUAGUUGGUGGGGUAACGGCUCACCAAGGCGACGAUACAUAGCCGACCUGAGAGGGUGAUCGGCCACACUGGGACUGAGACACGGCCCAGACUCCUACGGGAGGCAGCAGUAGGGAAUCUUCGGCAAUGGACGGAAGUCUGACCGAGCAACGCCGCGUGAGUGAAGAAGGGUUUCGGAUCGAAAAGCUCUGUUGUAAGAGAAGAACGAGUGUGAGAGUGGAAAGUUCACACUGUGACGGUAUCUUACCAGAAAGGGACGGCUAACUACGUG
rnacentral:rRNA from 1 species